GUUCUAACUAAUGAGACAUUCUCCGCUUUCAUUCAUAAGAUGUAAUGCAAAGGUUCAGAAAGUGAAAAAGGGAUAGGUG
rnacentral:tRNA from 1 species